UAAAUAGCAAAUGGGAUUCUUCCUCAGGU
rnacentral:piRNA from 1 species